GCGGAGUCUGCGCAUGGUUAUUCGCAAGGAAAAUUGGCGGGAUCAAAGAUCCCCCACAAUCCCAGUACGACACGAGCAUCGAUUCCGGACGGAACAGCACCUUGGAUACAAACACCGUGAACUCAUCGGGAACCUAUGAAAACCUCUCAAGGAAUGAACA